rnacentral:rRNA from 1 species
UACGGAGGGUGCGAGCGUUGUCCGGAAUCACUGGGCGUAAAGGGCGCGUAGGCGGCUCAUGAAGGCUGUGGUGAAAGUCCGGGGCUCAACCUCGGAUCGGCCGUGGCGACUCGUGGGCUGGAGCACUGUAGAGGCGGGUGGAAUUCCGGGUGUAGCGGUGGAAUGCGUAGAGAUCCGGGAGAACACCAGUGGCGAAGGCGGCCCGCUGGGCAGUGGCUGACGCUGAAGCGCGACAGCGUGGGGAGCAAACAGG